rnacentral:rRNA from 1 species
CAGUCGCCGCGGUAAUACGGAGGAUCCGAGCGUUAUCUGGAAUUAUUGGGUUUAAAGGGUGCGUAGGCGGAUAGAUAAGUCAGUGGUGAAAGACGGUGGCUCAACCAUCGCAGUGCCGUUGAUACUGUUUAUCUUGAAUAUGGAUGAGGUAGGCGGAAUGUGGCAAGUAGCGGUGAAAUGCAUAGAUAUGCCACAGAACACCGAUUGCGAAGGCAGCUUACCAAGGCAAAAUUGACGCUGAGGCACGAAAGCGUGGGGAUCGAACAGGAUUAGAUACCCGAGUAGUCCCUGUCUCUUAUAC